rnacentral:tRNA from 1 species
AAAAUAAAGCCUAGUGGACAUGGCAUCUUCCCGGUAAGCGGAACACUGUGGGUUCGAUUCCCAUCCCUGGACACUUUUAUUUUU